CUCUGUGGUCAUAAAGGGAUGGCAUCAAAGCUCCGGCAGGUUGUGGUGUUUAAAUGAUGCUCAGCUGGUAGUAGAGCCUCUGGCUCUUUUACAGCAGUCAACGUGCUGACGUGAAGCAGACUUUAAAUAAAUGUAACAAGCAGAGGGUUGUUCCUAACAGUAUCUGAGUUAAAUUAUGAUCAUUCAAGUGUUUUUUGUAUUAUACUAAAUCAAUCUUAAAAACAGUCAGUCCCCACAUUUGUGCCACUUUAUAUUUGACCUCAGCUGUUCUGCUUCCUCUCUGUGCCUUAUCUUUAUUUACUCAGGGCAGGUUGGACCUUUGUUCAGUGCUGUUUUUCUCCUAACUGUUACACACCCUGCAGCUCCCAGUACAGUCACUUUAAUUCAGUUUUUUAUCACAGUUUAUGGUUUCUUUUGUGCCAUUUAAUCUGUGUACUGCAUCCUGUGGAUGGAAACUUUGUGUCUUAAUUCCAAUGGGUGGUGCAUUUUUUAUAUCUGAUUACAACAAAAAGUGUGUUCAGUGCACAAGUGAGAUUAAUUUCGCCUUAAGCCUGGAAAUAUUAAUUUCUGUGAGAAAAGAAUCAUCUUACGUAUGAGUUUAGAUUUCAGGGAAAUGCAGCAGACAUGUCUCUCCCAAUAUUACAUGUAUUUGUACUUUCUACCCCCAAAUGACACGAUGAAAGAAGUCAAGGACUACUUCUGAAUUGCAACGUGGUGCUUUAUUUUCAUGAUUAAGAAAUUUCCAUCACAAACCAGUGCAGAAUUCAGCAGAAAUUUAACGUGUCUCCUUCAAUAAUAAUAUGAAACCUGCACCGAUGCGCCUGUGUGUUGACUGUGCAUAACGUCUGUGCAGAUGCUCAGCUUUAUAAGCAUCAACAGGUGACACCAAGUAUUCAAAAGUUUUGCAGGACUGCAAACGAUUAAAAAAAAAACUCUAACCACAGGGCAAAAUAGAUCAUGUGGGUCUGUGGGUGUGCACUCUUAUAAAAUCUAGUUUGCUGACUGUAUAUUAAUGAUUGUACACACACACACCCAUGUAGGUCAUAAAAAAGAAAAUAGUCUGAUAGGAGUUCAGACUCAGCCCCUGCUUCAGGUUCAGCUGCACAUAAAAAGCAGCAGCAGGUGACGUCUGCAUCUGCAGAUCUGGUCUCAGCACUCGGACCUGCAGUUUCUCCUGGUAACGCAGCAAAAUGUACGGACACAACCAAGGCCCACCUGGUUACCCGAACUAUCCUCCGCAGGGGGGUUGCCCUCCGCAGGGGGGUUACCCUCCACAGGGGGGUUACCCUCCACAGGGUUAUCCUCCAGGGACUGUCCCACCAACCUGUCCUCCUCAGCACCAUGGGCCACAUGGAGGACACGGACAUGGGCACGGACCUGGUUCUGGUUGUUGUCAAGGCCAAGGAUCCUGCCAAGGGCACGGGCACGGACAUGGACAUGGACACGGACAUGGACAUGGACAUGGACACAAGGACAAGAAAAAGGACAAGAAAAAGGACAAACAUAAGCACAAGCACGGUCACAAGCAUGGCCACUGUCACAAGAAAGGAAAGGACAGCCACGGGUCUUCCAGCAGCUCCUGCAGCAGCGACUCCGACUAGAUGGAAAAAACCCGGAAACCUUCAUGCUCCUGUCUCAUCAUUUUGAGCUUUGACACAGUUUUGCUUAAAAAAAAAAAAUCAGUCCAGUUUUUGUCAGAAAAUAAUAAUAAUCUAAACUUUGAUAGAUACCAAAUGAAUCAUCUGUCAAGUUACUUUAGAUCAUUGUGAGCUUUAACAAGCAUUAUUUUUAUCCAGUGUUUGUCAGCAAAGAAAUAAAAGUGAUUUCAGUGCA
ensembl:lncRNA